GACGAACGCUGGCGGCGUGCCUAAUACAUGCAAGUUGAGCGCUGAAGGUUGGUACUUGUACCAACUGGAUGAGCAGCGAACGGGUGAGUAACGCGUGGGGAAUCUGCCUUUGAGCGGGGGACAACAUUUGGAAACGAAUGCUAAUACCGCAUAAAAACUUUAAACACAAGUUUUAAGUUUGAAAGAUGCAAUUGCAUCACUCAAAGAUGAUCCCGCGUUGUAUUAGCUAGUUGGUGAAGUAAAGGCUCACCAAGGCGAUGAUACAUAGCCGACCUGAGAGGGUGAUCGGCCACAUUGGGACUGAGACACGGCCCAAACUCCUACGGGAGGCAGCAGUAGGGAAUCUUCGGCAAUGGACGAAAGUCUGACCGAGCAACGCCGCGUGAGUGAAGAAGGUUUUCGGAUCGUAAAACUCUGUUGGUAGAGAAGAACGUUGGUGAGAGUGGAAAGCUCAUCAAGUGACGGUAACUACCCAGAAAGGGACGGCUAACUACGUG
rnacentral:rRNA from 1 species